rnacentral:rRNA from 1 species
GACAGAGGGUGCAAACGUUGCUCGGAAUCACUGGGCGUAAAAGGCGUGUAGGCGGGACGGUAAGUCGGGCGUGAAAUCCCUAGGCUCAACCUAGGAACUGCACUCGAAACUACCAUUCUUGAGUGUCGGAGAGGAAAGCGGAAUUCCUGGUGUAGAGGUGAAAUUCGUAGAUAUCAGGAGGAACACCAGUGGCGAAGGCGGCUUUCUGGACGAUAACUGACGCUGAGACGCGAAAGCGUGGGGAGCAAACAGG